rnacentral:rRNA from 1 species
UAAGGAAUAUUGGUCAAUGGAGGGAACUCUGAACCAGCCAUCCCGCGUGCAGGAUGAAGGGGCUCUGCCCUGUAAACUGCUUUUGAAUGGGACGAAAAAGCCUCACUUGUGAGGAACUGACGGUACCAUUAGAAUAAGCACCGGCUAACUCCGUGCCAGCAGCCGCGGUAAUACGGAGGGUGCAAGCGUUAUCCGGAAUCACUGGGUUUAAAGGGUGCGUAGGCGGUUGUAUAAGUCAGUGGUGAAAGGC